rnacentral:rRNA from 1 species
UACAGAGGGUGCAAGCGUUAAUCGGAAUGACUGGGCGUAAAGGGUGCGUAGGUGGUUAAUUAAGUUUCAUGUGAAAGCCCCGGGCUCAACCUGGGAAUGGCAUGGAAAACUGAAUAGCUUGAGUAGAGGAGAGGUGAGUGGAAUUUCCGGUGUAGCAGUGAAAUGCGUAGAGAUCGGGAGGAACAUCAGUGGCGAAGGCGACUCACUGGACUCAUACUGACACUGAAGAACGAAAGCGUGGGGAGCAAACAGG